rnacentral:rRNA from 1 species
AUUGAACGCUGGCGGCAGGCCUAACACAUGCAAGUCGAGCGAGCGGCGGACGGGUGAGUAAUGUCUGGGGAUCUGCCCGAUGGAGGGGGAUAACUACUGGAAACGGUGGCUAAUACCGCAUACUAUCGGAUGAACCCAUAUGGGAUUAGCGAGUAGGUGGGGUAAAGGCCUACCUAGGCGACGAUCCGUAGCUGGUCUGAGAGGAUGAUCAGUCACACUGGAACUGAGACACGGCCCAGACUCCUACGGGAGGCAGCAGGGGGGAAUAUUGCACAAUGGGCGCAAGCCUGAGGCAGCCAUGCCGCGUGUAUGAAGAAGGCCUUAGGGUUGUAAAGUACUUUCAGCGAGGAGGCGUUACCCGCAGAAGAAGCACCGGCUAACUCCGUGCCAGCAGCCGCGGUAAUAC